GAUGAACGCUGGCGGCGUGCCUAAUACAUGCAAGUCGAGCGAACAGACGAGGAGCUUACUCCUCUGACGUUAGCGGCGGACGGGUGAGUAACACGUGGAUAACCUACCUAUAAGACUGGGAUAACUUCGGGAAACCGGAGCUAAUACCGGAUAACAUGUUGAACCGCAUGGUUCAACAGUGAAAGACGGUCUUGCUGUCACUUAUAGAUGGAUCCGCGUCGCAUUAGCUAGUUGGUAAGGUAACGGCUUACCAAGGCAACGAUGCGUAGCCGACCUGAGAGGGUGAUCGGCCACACUAGAACUGAGACACGGUCCAGACUCCUACGGGAGGCAGCAGUAGGGAAUCUUCCGCAAUGGGCGAAAGCCUGACGGAGCAACGCCGCGUGAGUGAAGAAGGUCUUCGGAUCGUAAAACUCUGUUAUUAGGGAAGAACAAAUGUGUAAGUAACUAUGCACGUCUUGACGGUACCUAAUCAGAAAGCCACGGCUAACUACGUG
rnacentral:rRNA from 1 species